rnacentral:miRNA from 1 species
ACCUGGCAUACAAUGUAGAAUAC